GUCUUGGGAAACAGGUGAGCCUUCUCAGAGCAGCUGAGCUUGGUUGAGAGCUUGCUUCUUUCUGUUUCAGCUUAAAACCAUUCCUUAGGUUUGGGACCUCCUGGCCCUUCCUGGGAUGAUGUCUUUGGGGGCUAAGCACUGCAAGGCAGAGCACAGCUGCCUGUUGGUGUGAUAGCUUUCAGGUGAAAAACCCUUCCCUUCAUAUGGGGCCUUAUGCGGCUCAGUUGCCCUAUUGAAAAGGGGGAGUGCUGGUGCUACAGCACCUGGCAGUGAUGUGGGGGGCUGGAGAAGGGGCAGAGUGAGGGGAAAAGGGCCAUGAAAAGCAAGAGCCCUUGGCUGGCUUCUCCUUGGGGUGGUGCUGUGGGUGGCAGGGGAGCCACCCCUGGCUAGAGCUAGGCUAGAGCCUGCUCCAUCUGGGCAAUGCAAGAUCCUGUGUAAUAGUUCUGCUUCUCUGUGACACUUCAUAAAGCUAUGCAUGAGAUAUGCCCGUGCUGAUUCACGUGAUUCGUAGUUGGCAUCUAUCAACAAAGAAUCACUUGUUGCGACUUCAUCUGGAGGAAACCCAGAGCAGUCAAAAGGAAAUGUUUCUCAGAGUGCAGCUCUUCGUCUUGUGAAAAUAUACAUUCUGGAUCAGACUUGUGGCCUCUCCUGACAUUUCAUCCCUCACAGUGACAAACACCUAGGAAGGAGAAUAAAAGAAAAAAUCUUCGGUAACA
rnacentral:lncRNA from 1 species